rnacentral:ncRNA from 1 species
UGGUCCUGGCCUUUAAAUCAAUUAUUACUUAACUUACACAUGCAAGUCUCCGCACCCCCGUGAGGACGCCCCCAAACCCCUUUAGGGGUCAGGAGCUGGUAUCAGGCUCAAUUUUUAGCCCAUGACACCUAGCCACGCCACACCCACAAGGGCAUUCAGCAGUGAUUAACAUUGAAUAUAAGCGUAAGCUUGAUUCAGUCAGAGUAAAGAGAGCCGGCAAAUUUGGUGCCAGCCGCCGCGGCCACACCAGUGGCUCAAAUUGAUUUCACUCGGCGUAAAGCGUGAUUAAAGCUUCUUUAAACUGCAGUUAAACUGGAACUAUACAGUGAAAUCAUGGUACCCAAGAAACACAAAAACGAAAGUUACUGCAAGACAACCCACUUGACUUCACGACAGUUAGGACACAAACUGGGAUUAGAUACCCCACUAUGCCUAACCGUAAACUUUAAAUUUACACUCAAAUCGCCAGGGAACUACGAGCAAUGCUUAAAACCCAAAGGACUUGACGGUACCCUACACCACCUAGAGGAGCCUGUCCUAUAAUCGAUGAUCCCCGUUUAACCUCACCACUCUUUGCCUUUCAGUCUGUAUACCUCCGUCGUCAGCUUACCACGUGAGCGAUUUCAGUAAGCAUAAAGGUCUUCACACCAAAACGUCAGGUCAAGGUGCAGCUUAUAGAGUGGGAAGAGAUGGGCUACACUCUCUAACAUAGAAUAUACGAAAGACUACUUAUGAAAUUUUAGUCAGAAGGCGGAUUUAGUAGUAAGGCGAGACAAUAGAGCUCGCUUAAACACGGCCCUGGGGUGUGUACACACCGCCCGUCACCCUCUUCGAAAACCCCCUUAAAAACAGUAUUUAACACCUUAUUAUUAUAAAGAAGAGGCAAGUCGUAACAUGGUAAGCUUACCGGAAGGUGUGCUUGGAAA